AUACUUCCACGUACAUACCCAGCACACACUCACACCUGCGUGCAAACACACACAGUGUGUCAUUUCUUACCCUUCUUCUUUCGUUUUUUUCUUCUGUUUUCCCUUCUUUUCUUCAUCUUUUUUUUUUUCGCUCCC
rnacentral:ribozyme from 1 species